GAUUUUUCAAUUUAGCCGCCCAAGAGAAAAAUGUUGCAAGCCAUACAUUUCAAACCACAGGUUUUACUCCUCUCAGCUCAACUCCGCCUCUCCAUUCUCUAUGCCUCAAUCUCACACUGUUAUUUCUCGCUGACUUCCGCCACCAUUGACCAGACUCAGUACGUAGGAGAAACCAACCAGAGAACAUCUUGAGGAGGUCAGUAGGAAUGAAUUUCAGAGUUUGGGUGAUAGAUUUAUCACCAUAUUGUUUAAUGUUGCAGGUGGAGAAAUUGCAGCAUGAAUUAAAUGGGGAGUUGCAACUGAACUAAAUUUCGAUUUGUGCAUAGGAAAAAAGUUCCAAGUUCAGCAACACUAAUCAAAAGCUACUCCAUACUAUAGGUCGAAAGGUUUAUCUACGUGUAGCUUAUGAAAAUGAGAAAAAAGAAUCCAAAUUAAAAAGGGCUAACAACAAGAGUAUGGACUCAUGGACAUCUUAGGAAAGAUGGAAAACCAAUAAAUGAAACAGUUGUCAUUACUAUGAGAAGGAUUGAAGAUUGUACCAUAUCAAUUUCUGAUACACUCGCCGAAGAUUCCAUCCGCGAUGAUGCUGUCGCUUGAGUUUUAGGUCCUGAACGUCAUGGGAGAGUUAGGGGACUAGGAUUUGGAUUUGCACCAUCAAAGGUGGAUGGACAAAUACAAAGUAGUGGGAGAGUUAGAGAAUGUGAAAGCCAAUUAUAAGAGUGGGGCACUAGAAGAAAAAGUGGAAACACUUCUCAGGUAAUCUCAACAGGUUAUAAGCAGUUACCUUUUAUACAUACUAUAAUUAUAUAGCCAAUUACAUGUAGAAUAAAUUUUGUAAUUUCUGUGUCAUUUUACCGAGUGUAGAUGACAGAAAUUCAAACGCUUUUAUUCCUUAGGUUUUUGUA